CCUCGGGCUCCCAGAGUGCUAGGAUUACAGGUAUGAGCCACCAGGCCCAGCCUAGGAAUAGAGUCUUGUUUCACUCUAUAUCCUCAGCACCGAGCACAGCCUGGAUCCUAGGGGGUGGUGGAUCCCUACAGGUCUGUAGACAGGUACGAUUACUAAUGUGAGGUGCUGUGUAUGUACUGUAAUUAUACACAUAUGCAGCAUAUACAUGCUACAUGUAUGUCUAUACUGAAAUUAUUCUAUAGUCAUUAUUUUCAUUUUACAGAUGGGGAAAAGGUGCAAAGGUCACACAGCUCCUGUCACAGGCAGCCAGCCAGGCUCUGAGCAGGCCUGAGCCCUGACCUCCCACCUUGCCCUUGAGGUGGGAGCCGCUGACCAGGCCCUGAAGCGCCUGUGAGGCUGAGGUCAAUGAAGUGGGUGCCGAUGGCCACGUCGUUGACCUUGUCCGAGUCCCGGAUCUGCACCUUCAUGCGUUUGCAGAGUGGGGGGAAGAGGUCUGUGAAGACGACCUGCUCAUUCCACAGUGGCUCGUAGCUGCUCUUCUGCACCGAAGUCUUGCCCUGGCAAGAGGAAGUGAGGGCCCCACGCCCGUCACCCUUCGCCUGUGAUGCCUGUCACCCCAGCUCCAGCCUCCCGCACCUGUACCCCAGUACCUUCUGGCCGGCAAAGAAGAUUUGCACAUAGGGGUCCACGAGGUCCUUGUUUUCACCGAUGAAAGCCUUCUUCACAUUGGCCAUGAGGCUUGUGUUCAUCCGGGGCAGGCCCUCUGCUCGCCUCUGGAAGACCCGAUUCACUGGAUUCCAGCAUUUUCUCACUGAGUCUGGACAACGGCCCAGAAUAUUUCUCAACAGUCACCAUCAGCUACUGGAAUUGGCACCAAAAGAAAUCUCUUGGCCAUCCUGGUGAUAUCCUGCUGGUGUCCCCAGGACCCAGCAGCUCCCGGACUCUGGUCUUCCAGCAUCUUCCAGCAGUUCUCAGCCAUCCCACCCCACCCCUGCCCUGUCAGUCCUUGCCGGAAGAGCUGGGCUGCUUGAGAGGGCGGAGACCAGGCUGAGGGAGAGGGCGGGAAGCGCUGGGGCAAGUCCGCACCAAGAGCUCCCUUUGGGGCUGGGAAGGGCUGGGCUGGGGUCUCCAGGGGCAGGGGUAGGUGGGCCUCACCCUUCAAUGUCAUCCUCAUCCGUCUCAUUGGCCUUGUGGGGCGUCUUGAUGUUGUCCCCCUUGCCCACCACGGCGACGUCGCACUUCACGUAGCCCUUCAGCCCCGCAGAGAUGUCAUCGGGGUCGGAGAGGAUGGCCCACUUGUGAUGGAACUGGUGCUCUGCAGUGGGGAGGGUGGCACUGCUCGGACGCCCCCACCAGGCAGGUCCCGCCCUCAGGGCAGACGGCAGAGCUGGGCGCCUUCUUGGCCCCCAGAGCUGGGACCAGGGCCACAGCUCUGUCUGGCUCUGGGCUAGGGGAUGACAGAGGUUUUCUGGGGCAGGGCAGUGGGGGCGAGGCCCCCGCCAUACAUCGCAUGAGUGGUGCGACUUGGAAGCGAGAGCCUCCUGACUGGUUUCUCUGCCUGCGGCCUCUCCUACCCUCACCACCCCGGUCAGCCCUCACAGGGGGCCACAGAGCAGUCCCACGUGGAGGCCCCUUCUUCCCACUCCCCAGUGCCUUGGGGUGAAGACCAAAGGCAGGUCUGUGGGCUCCUGAUGCAGCCCUCCCUGACUCUCUCUGCCCACUCCACCCCAGCCCUGCACUCCCUUCCUGGAGCUGCUCCCACCGCUCUGAGCUCAUGCCCCAGCUUCACACCGCCUUUGUGUCUGCUGUUCUUUAAGCAUGGGAUGUCCUCAUCCUCACUCUCCCCGCCCCCUGCCCGCCCUCAACUCCCCCUCCCUGUUCACUUGGUAAGCAUCUCAUUUUGCUCAAGUGUCUCUUCCAUGCAGCCUUCCCUGACUUCCUCAGAAGAGCUGAUCCUGGCCUCUUUGGUGCACUCGGUGUAACACACACGCCUCCCAUCCUGCUGUGCACUGUGACUAUCUGCGUAUUGGUAUCUCCAAUUUAGACUGACAGCCUCCUAAAGACAAGGACUGGCAGUCUUAUUCCAGUGUCCCAGGAGCCAGGACUGUGUGGAGGGAAGGACAAAUGUCAGGGAAGGAGGCGCUUUAGGAAGGGUUUGCCCCUCCAGGUUUACUGUAAACGGGAGACACAAGCAAGGGGCAGGCCGGUGCCUGGCUGUGCGUCUUUUUCCUGCUGUUUCGUGUGGGCACUGGCCUUUCCAGGGCUCAGCCCCGCCCUCCUUCCCUCCUCUUUCACCUUCUACUGUCGCCCUGGCCUCCAAGGUGGGCUCCCCGAGGUGCGUUAGGGUCUGUUUGCAGAAGCCAGCCUGUCUGGGGAUGGCUUUAUGUGUAUCAUCUUGGGUUUCGGACUCGGAUUCCCUAGUCUGAGUCCCAGUUAUGACAUGUUCUAGCCAAGUGUCUGCUCGGUUAAACCACAAGAAAUCACCAAUUUGUUCAACCUGUAAGUUUAGCAGCAUCUCCAAGCUAUUAAUACUUCAUUUCUCUUAGCCUUAUUUAUCUCAUCUGUAAAAUGGGAAGAGAUGCGGCUGCCUACCUCACUGUUUUGUGAGGGUUGAAUGUGGCAAUUCGGGUGAAAUUACGUUGUCACUGUCAAAGGGCCUGAUGUGGUUAUUACUGUGCUCUGAGCAGUGGGUUCACUCUAGGGACACCUGGUGGUCCCCGAACUGGCCACGUGGUGAGCUGUCAUCUGGCAGGCUGAGGGCCCUCCUCUGCCUCGCCCACGGUCACAUGCCCUCUGGGCCACCCUUUGGGGUUCCCUCACCAGCUCCAUGUGGUGUGGGUCCACAAGCACCCACAAAGCUGCCAGUCAGCCAUGGCCCCCCGCGGCUGCUCCUCAGGCAGCCUGGGUCUCUUGUAUUAAUAAAAAGUGG